AACAAAACGCUGGCGGCGUGCCUAACACAUGCAAGUCGUACGAGAAAAGGGUCCUUCGGGACCUGAGUAAAGUGGCGCACGGGUGAGUAGCGCGUGGAUAAUCUACCCUUCAGUUGGGAACAACUCAUCGAAAGGUGGGCUAAUACCGAAUAAUACUGCUCGACCUUGGUCGAGCAGCCAAAGAGAGCCUCUGCUUGCAAGCCCUCGCUGAAGGAUGAGUUCGCGUACCAUUAGCUUGUUGGUAGGGUAAUGGCCUACCAAGGCGACGAUGGUUAGCUGGUCUGAGAGGAUGAUCAGCCACACUGGAACUGAGACACGGUCCAGACUCCUACGGGAGGCAGCAGUGAGGAAUCUUGCGCAAUGGGGGAAACCCUGACGCAGCAACGCCGCGUGAGUGAGGAAGGUCUUCGGAUCGUAAAGCUCUGUCAGUUGGAAAGAAAUGUCUGAGAGUCAAUCCCUUUCAGGCUUGACGGUACCAACAGAGG
rnacentral:rRNA from 1 species